AUUGAACGCUGGCGGCAUGCUUUACACAUGCAAGUCGAACGGUAACAGGCCGCAAGGUGCUGACGAGUGGCGAACGGGUGAGUAAUGCAUCGGAACGUGCCCAGUCGUGGGGGAUAACGCAGCGAAAGCUGCGCUAAUACCGCAUACGAUCUAUGGAUGAAAGCGGGGGACCGUAAGGCCUCGCGCGAUUGGAGCGGCCGAUGUCAGAUUAGGUAGUUGGUGGGGUAAAGGCUCACCAAGCCGACGAUCUGUAGCUGGUCUGAGAGGACGACCAGCCACACUGGGACUGAGACACGGCCCAGACUCCUACGGGGGGCAGCAGUGGGGAAUUUUGGACAAUGGGCGCAAGCCUGAUCCAGCAAUGCUGCGUGCAGGAAGAAGGCCUUCGGGUUGUAAACUGCUUUUGUACGGAACGAAAAGGCUCUGGUUAAUACCUGGGGCUCAUGACGGUACCGUAAGAAUAAGCACCGGCUAACUACGUGCCAGCCGCCGCAGUAAAAC
rnacentral:rRNA from 1 species